rnacentral:lncRNA from 1 species
CUUUAUAUAUAAAGCCUGAAAUAUUGCCUGAUUGUUGAGUUCAGACUAUUGAACUCUGUAACCUGAAUGGAAGAAUGAGUGAAAGUAGUGUAAGGGGCAACAUGGUUACCAAUUGCUCGUACAUUUUCUUGCUACUAAAAGAAAGAGAAAGAUAAUUUUGUUGAAAAGAUUCUCUUGCAUUCCAUACUUUUUCUACUGAUACAAAGCCACCAUGGUUGCGGUCAGUCUAAUAUGAAUGAACCAACCAAUCAAUUUUGAUUAUAUUCGUUUCUN